rnacentral:misc_RNA from 1 species
AUUAUAUAUACCGCAAAUUGUGUAAUCUAAAUUGUACCCUCCGUUCCUCGUACAUUUUAAUUAGCGAUAUUACAAAAAUAGAGAAUUUGAGAGAAUGAAUUCGAGCGAAAUAAUUGUAUCGUAAAAUAAAAAUUUAGCGUGAAUAGUUAAUUAGUUGUUCGAUCACGCGAUGCGAGUACACGUAUAUAAUGAAACAUUGAUUUUUUACCCGUCGUUGUUGAACCGGGUACUCAAAAGCUGAUAUUGUGUAUAAUGAAACGUGAAAACGGAAGGAAUAAAAUGGAAAAAAAUAUACUGCGGUUUCUAGAGUAUCUGUACGGAUGGUAUAGUGUAUCCAACGCGUUACACAGAAUUUAUUUUAAGAGAGGAGCAAAGUCGAGCUUCAGAUCUGGAUUCUCUGGCCUCUGUAUUCAUCAUGCUUCAUUGGUGGGGGUUGCUUGCCUUGCCGUGCCUUGCUUUGCUUAGCUUUGCUUUGCUUUGCCUGGUAAACCUGGCUGCUGCCGCUGGAUACUGCAGGGUAUGGUUUGGCAGCGCAGCCUGCCUUCCUUCUCUCCCAAUGUGGGCAAAACGGACGAGGAGGGUUUCUGAUCUGCGUACACAUUCUGUGUGUGUACCACCCGC